GAGGCGGAUCCCGCGCCGCCCGCAUCCUGGUGCGGUCGUGCCGUUGCGGGGCGCAGGCGGUAGCGCGGAGCUCCGGGGCCUGGAGCAAUGUCGGGUGGCUGAGAUUGGAGUCGCGGAGUUGCUGUGUCGGUGCUCUGGUGUUUGCCGGUUGCAGUUCUGGUGCUCGGUGAGGGGUCAGGGAGGGACGCGGAGGGGGCGGGGUGGUCGGUGAAGCCGUGCUGCGUGCAGCCCCGGGGCUUGGAGCCGCGUGGGGUCAUUGAGUGGUGCUGUGCGAGGGGGCUGCGGCCGUAAUGUUCGGUUGGGAGCCCAGUAGGUAGCAGCUCUAUUAACUGAGUCCUCGGCCGGCCCUAAUGCCCAGCUGCGUGCGUGCUUCUCCUAGCCCGAGUGCCCAGAGCCCCAGCGGCUGUUAGUUCUGAGCAGCCUACUGGCUGCAGCCCUUGCUGCCCGCUCCUCGCAGCCUGCUGGCCCAGAGGUGGUUCGGCUGAGGCCCGGUGUUUGCAGCCCCGAUACCAAAUCCAGAUCGCAGAGCCUGACCGCUGAACCCCACCGCUGCUGCACCAUGCCGUGCCGCCGUGAGAUGCUGGCCCUGGUGGCCGUGCUGGGCUGGCUGCUGGUGCUGCUGCUGGACCUGCAGGUGCUGGCGCUGCUGUGUGGGACCGCAGCUGUGCUGGGUGGGUGGCUGGGACCCCGAGCUCUGAGCAGGCCAGGCUGGAGGCUGCGCUUAGAGCGCUUUGCUGGAUCCCUGCGGCCGGCGGCACACAGCCCUGAGGCGGAGGAGCUGCUGGAGCAGGAGAUCAGCAGCACCGUCAGGAAAGUGGUGAGGGACUUCGUCUCCUCGUGGUACCGCACCGUCAGCAGUGAGCACGCCUUUGAGGCUGAGGUGGAGAAGGCCAUGAUGGGGCUGGCAGCUGAGCUGAGGUGGCGGAUGGCGCGGGUUGACCGCCAGGCCCUGGCCCGCCGGCUGCUCCUGCUGUGUGGCCGUCACCUGCAGAGCUACCUGCAGGCCCUACGGGGACACGGGCUGCUGUGGGAGGAGUACCGCCGGGUCGCGGGCCUGCAUCCAGCCCUCUGCAGCCCGGCGGCUGAGGUGAGCUAUGCCCGCGCCUCUGUGGAGCUGCUGCUGCGGGCUUUGGUGCCUCGGCCCCACCUGGAGACGCGGACGGGUCGCUUCGUGGUGGUGGAGCUGGUGGCCUGCAAUGUGCUGCUGCCAGCCAUCAGGAAGAUGGCUGACCCUGACUGGAUCAACCUGCUGCUGGUUGGGGCCUUCCCCAGGAAGGCACAGGGCGAGGAGCCCAGCCCUGCAGUUCCAGUGCCAGACUCUCUGCCUCUCACAGUUCAGCUGGGUGCUGCCCCAGCAGUACCGCUUCUAUCCCCAUCACCUGGGCGAGAAGCAGGGGCUGGUGGUGAGGAUGGUGUGGAUGUGCCGUGUGAGCCACCCUGUAGUGAGGGGGUUGUCUUGAGGCCACGAGGCCUGGGCUUGCUGUUCCCUUAUGAGGGUUUGGAGCUGGAUUCUCCAGGCCAGGAUGUGGAGCUGCUGGCACCAUCACCCGCUGGGGAGUUUCUUGAUGAGCAUCUCCCUGAUGUUCCUGCUCUGUUGGAGGGAGCAGACACUUCAGAGGAUGGGAUGGGGGAUCUGGAGGAUGGCCAUACCACCAGUAGUGAUGCUGGACUGCUACUCCCAUCUGCUUAUGUUCUGGGCUCCUGCCCUGACAUCCAGAUUGAUCCAGUGAUGGAGACAGAGGAGGACAGUCCCAAGAAGUGCUCUGUGCAACGGCCCUGCAGCUUGGGGAAAGAAUUGGGAACACCAGAGGCCCUGCCACAAAGCCCUUCAGACCCUGUUCAGCCCCUUCCCCUGCUCUCAUCCUCCCCGACUGCUCCCAUCAGCACCUUCAGCUUUGAGCCCCUCAGCAGCCCCGAUGGACCGGUGGUCAUCCAGAACCUGCGCAUAACCGGCACCAUCACUGCCCGUGAGCACAGCGGGACUGGCUUCCACCCCUACACCUUGUACACCAUCAAGUAUGAGACAGCCCUGGAGGGUGAGGUUGCAGGCAGCCUUCAGCAGAUGGCCUACCACACUGUGAACCGCCGCUACCGGGAGUUCCUCAACCUGCAGACCAGGCUGGAGGAGAAACCGGAGCUCCGCAAGUUCCUGAAAAAUAUCAAAGGACCAAAGAAACUGUUCCCUGAUCUCCCAUUUGGAAAUAUGGACAGCGAUAAAGUGGAAGCCAGAAAAAGUCUGCUGGAAUCUUUCUUGAAGCAAUUGUGUGCAGUCCCUGAGAUUGCAAACAGUGAGGAGGUGCAGGAGUUCCUUGCUCUGAACACGGAUGCCAGGAUUGCGUUUGUCAAGAAGCCCUUUGUUGUCUCCAGGAUAGACAAGAUUGUUGUAAAUGCCAUUGUGGACACCCUGAAGACAGCAUUCCCCAGGUCAGAGCCCCAGAGCCCCACAGAGGAUCUGAGUGAGUCUGAAGUGGAUGGGAAAUAUCAGCCAGAUGGGAAGAAGGCAAACAAGUCCAGGCUGAGGUUCCCAUCCAGCAAAAUCACUCCAGUGCUGAGUGUGAGUGAAGCACAUGACAGGAUUGUGUACUCCGUGAGGGAGGGCAGUGCUGUCUCUGGCACGCUGUCACUGGCUGCUAUGGAGUCCUUCAUCCAGAAGCAGGAGAAGCUGCUGGAAGCAGUCCCCAGCAAAGCUCCUGAGGGCGAGGGGAGUGAAGAAGCCAAGGAAAAAUGUGUGCAGGAGGAUACAGAUGGGCUGAACACGUUGGAGCAGGGAGCACAUCUGGACACGGACUCUGAGACUGCUUUGGCUGACCUGGCCCUGGACUUGCUGCGUUUGCUGCUGAUGGAUCACUGGAGCUGGCUGUGCAUAGAGAAUAUCCAGAAGGUCUUCCACCUGCUCUUUGGGACCCUCAUUCAAAGGUGGCUGGAAGUCCAGGUGGUCAACCUGACCUGCACCCAGCGCUGGGUGCAGUACCUCCAGCUGCUGCAGGAGUCCAUCUGGCCUGGAGGAGUUCUGCCAGAAGUGCCCAAGCCAGCCAGGACAGAGGAACAGAAGAAAGCAGCUGCAGAGCAGGCCCUGCAGAGCCUGAUGGGGAUCUUGCCUAAUGUGGUCCAAGAAAUCCUUGGAACCGAUAAAUGUCGCAUGAGCUGGAGCCUGGUGCUGGAGUCCUUGGGCCAUCCUGUUAUAAACAGGCACCUGGUUUUCUGCCUCUUGGACAUUCUGCUGGAGUUCUUGGUUCUGAAAGGCUCCAGUGAUGAGCUGGAGACUGCAACUGUCGUGCCAUCUGACUCUAGUGGUCUGGAGAAAGCAGGUGGUGCAGCACAUUAACAAGGGCUGGUGUAGCCAGCAGCGAAGGAGAGAAGCCACAGGCAUGGGCUGAUUUAAUUUUUGAUGCUUACUGAACAUGUCUGGGAGCUUCUUGUUAAGAAUUCUUCCAGCUGUAACUAAAUGAGGCUGCUUCCAGGCUUCUCUGUUUUGUCUGGGUGAUGGAUUAGACCCAGUGUCGCUGGCUGAUGAGCUCUUUCUGCCAUGUAGAAGCUGUUCCAUUGCUGAUCUGGUGGAGAGCCUGGGCUGAAGCUUUCUGACUUCUGUGCAGCUGGAUGGUCUGAGAAGGAUGUGCAGGCUGCCCACAGAUGCUGCUGGAAUGUCAUGUCCUGCCCAUGUGCCUGACCAGUCCUAAUGUAUAAAGGCAGAUGGCACACAAGCUUUGCUUCUGUGACUUCAAGCUCCACCUGGCACUGGCAUGCAGAGAUGUGGUGUGAUGGUAUCUAGGUGGCAGGUGAUGGGAAGGCCAAAUGCUGUCCCUGCUCUCUCUAAGCAGCCUGCCCUGUGCCAUCUGUUUUACCAGAAGGAAGAUGGGGAGUGGAUGGAGUGUGAUGACAUCAGCCAUGGAGUCAGCCAGGAACUCAUCCCUGCAUCCCACGUGAUUGGGAAGCUGGAAGACAAGCUGUCUCCUUGCUGCCACGCUGCCACAGUCUUGUUCUGGCAUCUUUUGCUGACUGAAUAUCAAGAGGCAAGUUGGGUAGACUGAUCCUAGGAAAGAGAACUGUUCCCUUGCCUGAAGAGGACUGGUAACUUAAUUGGACUUCAGGAUGACUGUGUAUUUUGCCUGGUGGGUCAUAGUUCAGUCCCACAGACACUCACUUGGAGGGCACAGGAGAGAAGGAGCUGACCUCUGUGUGGCACACAGCACAUAAAUUGUGUCCUGCACAGUGCUCCUCACAGCAAGCUCCAGGAGGGGAGUGAGCACCUCUGAGGCCAGAAGGAAAGCUGAAUGUGUGCCAGGGGGUGUCAGCUGUUAAAUGGCCUUCAGAGCAGCACCUUACCUCUGCCAGACCAAUGACAAGGACCUGGAAAGUGCAUGCAAGCAGACCUGUCUGUAUUUCUGCCAGGAUGUGGAUCACUGAACUGAUCAGUGCAGGACUUUGCAAAUCAAGGAGAUGCUGCUCCUGGUGUUCUCAACAGAUUAAAGCACUGGAAAGAGGAGGCAUUGCAAGAGGAAAGCAUGCAAGAUCUCAGCUAAUUUCCAUGUUACUGUACCAAGGGGUGCUUUUCAUGCAGUUUCUUGGAGCGCUGAGAUCAUGUAAUUUGAACAUGGACACUACUGACAGCAGAGCCUCUGCCCUUCCCAGAGACAGCUGCUUAAUGAUGGACACAUGGCUGUGUUUCUUCAUGCUUCUGCUUCCACUUAUUGCAUCGCCUACCUUGAGGAAUGGGUGAAGGCAGCAGGACAAGGAGCUGUCAGCCAGGGCUGGUGUGAUGUACAUACCCUGUGAUGCUUGGUGGUUUCCCAGGUGCUCAUGGUGUGCUUGCUUGCUAUUGCUUUCUCUUAAACUUAGUGGGUUUGGAGCACCAAGACUGCAUUCUGCCACUGAUAAGGGAUAUCAUUAAGUGUCUGCUGAGAAAGAUAAGUCAGAGAUGGACUGCAGACUGCAUGCUACCAGCUCCACCCGGGGGCAGAGGCUAGCACAGUGCUUACAAACACUGGAUUUGUCCUUGGAAGGAUGAGAUUUGUCUUUGCUCUAAUACGCCCUGACCUCUGGCACUAGGCAAACAGCUCGGUAUUCAUUCCUUCUGAUGAAAAUAAUCUGUGAUUUUUGCUGGUGGGCUCAGAGGGCUGUAGCUUGAGAACUGGCACUUGGCUGGAGUGCUGUGAUGGUGAUUUGUGGUUAUACCAGGCAACUGCUUGGGGAGUGCGUGUGUGUGUGCUCUGCAUCCUUCAUGCAAAGCCUGCGUCUUGUGGGCUUGCUCACAAGGUGCAGUAGUAGCAUCUCCUCUGUGUUCCCUGGUCACUGCAGGGGUGUUGGACCAGGAGAUUUCUAAAGGGGCCUUCUGACCCAUUCUGUAAUUCUGCGUGGGAAUGCUUGGGGCAGAGAGAUGAAGUAAGUUUACUUGCAUGCACUGCAAAUCAGCAGCAGAGUCAGGAGCAGACCUCAGGAGUUUGGAUUGUGAGAUCUCAGAUUUAAUCUCCAGAACUCUUUUUUCUUUUUUCUUUCUUAGAGCAAGGAAAGCA